rnacentral:rRNA from 1 species
GAGCCCGCACAAGCAGUGGAGUAUGUGGUUUAAUUCGAUGCAACGCGAAGAACCUUACCAGAACUUGACAUCCCAAGAAGUCCGGUGUAAUGUCGGAUGUGCCCUUCGGGGAGCUUGGAGACAGGUGGUGCAUGGUUGUCGUCAGCUCGUGUCGUGAGAUGUUGGGUUAAGUCCCGCAACGAGCGCAACCCUUACGGUUAGUUGCUACGCAAGAGCACUCUAAUCGGACUGCCGUUGACAAAACGGAGGAAGGUGGGGAUGACGUCAAAUCAUCAUGCCCCUUACGUUCUGGGCUACACACGUACUACAAUGGCGCAAACAAAGGGAAGCGAAACCGCGAGGCGAAGCGAACCCCGUAAAAAGGCGUCUCAGUUCAGAUUGUAGGCUGAAACCCGCCUGCAUGAAGUCGGAAUUGCUAGUAAUCGCGGAUCAGCAUGCCGCGGUGAAUACGUUCCCGGGCUUU